AGCCUUAAUGACGAUUCUAGGAUUCUUUUGGAAAUUGAAGGAUAGGGCCUAAGAGCUGACUUGAUAGAUUUUCUUUGAGUGUUGAUUUGAUGUGAUUUAAGUGUGUAUUGCCUUUGUAAGAGUUUUGCAAAGUCGGAGUUUUUUUGGGGUGACUUUGGAUUUAUGAAAUAAAGUGGGUGAUACUUUUUAGAGAAUUUUGUAAGUUUGGCAAUAGAUCUGCAAGUGAAAUUUUGAGGGUUUGUGGAUAUGUAUAUGUGUUUAUUAUAUGUUGUGAGUUAUAACUCGAUCAAAGGAUUGGAUCAAGGAUUAUUGAGGUUUAAGUGGGUCAGGGUCUCAAAAAGUUGAGUUUUAGGUCUAAUGAGGAUUUCUAAGAUUUCUUGCAAUCUAUUUAUUGGAUUGAAAUGAAAAUUAUAUGUGUAGGUAGAAGACUUAUUUUCCUACUUAUGUAAGAAAUUUAAAAUCAAUUGAGCAGUUUGAUAAGGAGAUAUUGAUACUCAAAAUUCAACAUUUAGAUUGAAGAAGAAGGCUAGCCAACAUCCGAGCAAAUAUUAGGGUUGAUCUUUUUUUUG
rnacentral:lncRNA from 1 species